UAAAGCGUGCGCAGGCGGUUUUGUAAGACUGUCGUGAAAUCCCCGGGCUCAACCUGGGAAUGGCGAUGGUGACUGCAAGGCUAGAGUUUGGCAGAGGGGGGUAGAAUUCCACGUGUAGCAGUGAAAUGCGUAGAUAUGUGGAGGAACACCGAUGGCGAAGGCAGCCCCCUGGGUCAAAACUGACGCUCAUGCACGAAAGCGUGGGGAGCAAACAGGAUUAGAUACCCCAU
rnacentral:rRNA from 1 species